UACGUAGGGCGCAAGCGUUGUCCGGAAUUAUUGGGCGUAAAGAGCUCGUAGGCGGUUUGUCGCGUCUGCUGUGAAAACCUAAGGCUCAACCUUGGGCUUGCAGUGGGUACGGGCAGACUAGAGUGCGGUAGGGGUGACUGGAAUUCCUGGUGUAGCGGUGGAAUGCGCAGAUAUCGGGAGGAACACCGAUGGCGAAGGCAGGUCACUGGGCCGCAACUGACGCUGAGGAGCGAAAGCGUGGGUAGCAAACAGG
rnacentral:rRNA from 1 species